CAGCCAUAUCACGUUGAAACACCUGUUCCUGUCUGAUGACCGAAGUUAAGCAAAGUCGUGUCUGGUUAGUACUUAGAUGGGUGACCGCUUGGAUAUGUUGGUGGUGUA